rnacentral:ncRNA from 1 species
UGAGAUCCCCGUCCAGUAGAGCCUGACCAGCAACUGGAAGCGAGUGUUGCGUGGUGUUGGAGUAAUCUGCGUCACGAAGCGUACACAGCGAAUCCGAAAGCCAUGCUAUUGAGCGUCGAAAGACCCAAUCGUGGGAGCCUUUGCCUUUUGGUCACCAGGGGCCACGCUGCUGCACUUUAUGGUCUGGUGCAAGCAGUCCUGCCGGCGUCGGUUUGGAACA